UACGUAGGGUGCAAGCGUUGUCCGGAAUUAUUGGGCGUAAAGAGCUCGUAGGCGGUCUGUCGCGUCUGCUGUGAAAACCUAGGGCUUAACUCUGGGCGUGCAGUGGGUACGGGCGGGCUAGAGUUCGGCAGGGGGAGACUGGAAUUCCUGGUGUAGCGGUGGAAUGCGCAGAUAUCAGGAGGAACACCGGUGGCGAAGGCGGGUCUCUGGGCCGAUACUGACGCUGAGAAGCGAAAGCGUGGGGAGCGAACAGG
rnacentral:rRNA from 1 species